AACAUCACGGUCAGACCCCAACUACAUAGAGAGAGAUAGGAAACAUCACGGUCAGACCCCAACUACAUAGAGAGAGAUAGAGUUGUUCUGACCAGGCAGGAGGAGAGGACAGAAAGGUGUUCUGACCAGGCAGGAGGAGAGGACAGAGAGGUGUUCUGACCAGGCAGGAGGAGAGGACAGAGAGGUGUUCUGACCAGGCAGGAGGAGAGGACAGAGAGGUGUUCUGACCAGGCAGGAGGAGAGGACAGAGAGGUGUUCUGACCAGGCAGGAGGAGAGGACAGAGAGGUGUUCUGACCAGGCAGGAGGAGAGGACAGAGAGGUGUUCUGACCAGGCAGGAGGAGAGGACAGAGAGGUGUUCUGACCAGGCAGGAGGAGAGGACAGAGAGGUGUUCUGACCAGGCAGGAGGAGAGGACAGAGAGGUGUUCUGACCAGGCAGGAGGAGAGGACAGAGAGGUGUUCUGACCAGGCAGGAGGAGAGGACAGAGAGGUGUUCUGACCAGGCAGGAGGAGAGGACAGAGAGGUGUUCUGACCAGGCAGGAGGAGAGGACAGAGAGGUGUUCUGACCAGGCAGGAGGAGAGGACAGAGAGGUGUUCUGACCAGGCAGGAGGAGAGGACAGAGAGGUGUUCUGACCAGGCAGGAGGAGAGGACAGAGAGGUGUUCUGACCAGGCAGGAGGAGAGGACAGAGAGGUGUUCU